GGCUACCACAUCUAAGGAAGGCAGCAGGCGCGUAAAUUACCCAAUCCCGAUUCGGGGAGGUAGUGACAAGAAAUAGCAAACUGGAUGAAUUUUCAUCACAGUAUUGCAAUGAGAACAAUGUAAAUGCUUUAUCGAUUAACAAUUGGAGGGCAAGUCUGGGGCCAGCAGCCGCGGUAAUUCCAGCUCCAAUAGCGUAUAUUAAAGUUGUUGCAGUUAAAAAGCUCGUAGUUGAAUUUCUAUACAUUCCCAGUUCUGGCUUCGGUCAAGCUGUGGAAUGUGCAUCCGCUUGCAAACUUAGACCGGCCUUCACUGGUCGACUAAGGGAGUAAGCCCUUUACUUUGAAAAAAUUAGAGUGUUUCAGGCAGGCAAUGGCUCGAAUACAUUAGCAUGGAAUAAUGGAAUAGGACUUUUGUCCAUUUGGUUGGUUAUUGGACAUAAGUAAUGAUUAAAAGGGACAGUUGGGGGCAUUAGUACUUAAUUGUCAGAGGUGAAAUUCUUGGAUUUAUUAAAGACUAACUUAUGCGAAAGCAUUUGCCAAGGAUGUUUUCAUUAAUCAAGAACGAAAGUUAGGGGAUCAAAGAC
rnacentral:rRNA from 1 species